UUGUGUCUAAGGAAGAAGUUAUACAGCUAGCUGGUAGACAGUCGAAGAGACUGCAGUAAUGCUAACUUGGCCGCAGUAGAGACUGACUUAUCCGACAAGUAUUAAAGCCACAAAGGGAAGCUCUGGAGCAACAAGCAUCGCCGAGUGGUCGUUUAGCAGCGUUGGGAAACCAGUAAGACGCUGCGGAUAGUGGACCUUUAAUAACUGACACCAGCUGCUGCGAAAGCUCAGAAAGUAUCAUUAUAUUCAGUCAUGUCUGCGGCCGGAGACUUCGGAAACCCUUUAAGAAAAUUUAAACUGGUCUUUCUCGGGGAACAGAGUGUGGGAAAGACGUCAUUGAUCACCAGGUUCAUGUAUGACAGCUUCGACAAUACGUACCAGGCCACAAUAGGAAUAGAUUUCCUGUCAAAAACCAUGUACCUUGAAGACAGAACAAUCAGGUUACAGUUGUGGGACACAGCGGGGCAGGAGCGAUUUCGCAGCCUGAUCCCAAGUUACAUCAGAGAUUCAGCCGCUGCUGUCGUUGUGUAUGACAUUACAAAUGUCAACUCUUUCCAACAAACCACAAAGUGGAUUGAUGAUGUCAGAACAGAGAGAGGAAGUGAUGUCAUUAUCAUGUUGGUGGGAAACAAGACGGACCUUGCAGACAAAAGGCAAGUAUCUAUUGAGGAGGGUGAACGGAAAGCCAAAGAACUAAAUGUAAUGUUUAUUGAGACUAGUGCGAAAGCAGGCUACAACGUGAAGCAGGUAAGUGUGUGUCUGAGUCGUGCUCUGAAGUCCUGCUGCUGGUGCUGCGGCUUCUCUGCCAAAAGCUUCCCUCAGGAGCAAAUAAAGAAAAGUUGCAACUGAGCAAGAUCUUUUUUUUUUAAGUACUUCCAAAUGUGCAAAUUACUCAUACUUUUCUUGAUAUUUUCUGGAUAUUGAAAAUAUUUAGUGACUAUGGUGCCUUAUGCAGUAUUCAUAUCCCUUUUUACAUUGCAGCCUCUAACCUCAGAGUAUUUUGUUGGGAUUUUUGUGUGAAAGAUCAACACAAACCUGUGCAUAAAUGAGAUGUGGAAGGAUAAGGUUUUGUGGAUUUCAAUUUUUUUAUGUUUUCACCAAUAGAAAUGUGAAAAGUGCAGUGUGGAUUUUUAUUCAGCUUGGCUGAGUCAAUAGUUUUUUGCAUCACAUUUUGCUGCAAUUCCAGCUGCAAGUCUUUUGGGGUAUCAUUCUAGCAGCCCUAGCAACAUUUUUACUAAUUCAUCUUUUUUUUUUCUUUCAAACAGCUCAAGCUCACAGUGGAUGGAGAGCAUUUAAGCACUUUAGUUUUUAAUCCUGACAUAUCAUUUCUUGGAUUUCGGUCAUUGAGUCAUUUUAACUUAGAAACAUGCUUUUAACCAAUCCACUUCAUCAUCACUCUGACUCUAUCUUUAAAAUUGUUUUACCUGUAGGAAGGAGAACUUGAGGGACCAACUGGAUAUAUACAAUUUAUGUCACACACACACACAUUUGGGCUAUUUACUAAAUCUGGAGGAAGCUGGUUGCAUUGUUUUUUCUUUGCAACACCAGAGCAAAAGUAAAUUAAAAACCAUUCAUCAUUUUUCCAUUUAUAAUGCACUACUUUGUGUUGGUCUGUCACAUAAAAUCACAAUAAAACACACUUGUGGGUGUAGAAGAACAGAUUGUCAAAACGUCCAAGGAGUAUUAAUACUUUCUGCUGGCGCUGCACCGAGCAAACUUUGAAUUUAACUGCAACUCAGUACAUAUUAAAGUUAUUAAAAUCGCACCGGGAGACUUUUGGUUCUUGAGCAGCGGUGCCAGUUGCAGCAAGGAGGAGCACGGCUUAUUAUUUCACUUCAAUAUAAUCACAUUUUUUUUUUUUCUUCUUCUGUCUGUGUUUCGAUGUCUGUGAUGCGUGUCACGGUGGGUGUGUGUUUGUUCAUUGGGACUCGCAGACAGAUAACCACAGAAGAAGGAGAGCAGAGAGCGAAAGAGAUGAAUGUUCUGUUUAUUGAAACGAGUGCAAAGACAGGCUACAAUGUCAAACAGCUUUUCCGCCGCGUGGCAGCCGCCCUCCC